rnacentral:lncRNA from 1 species
ACACCAUUCUCUGCUGAUACCAAGUCAGAAGAAAUUCAGGCUCAGCAAUCAGAGAAUCCAGGAUAUGCCUGCUUAUUUGCGAGCCCUUCGCCAAAGAUGGGGAGAGAGGAGCUAAACUGUAACUUCCUGCAGACUUAUCAUUCUUCAUAUUUUCAACAUCUAGCAAAUUGCCGGGCCCUCACAGCUCAUUAAGGUUGAACAAAUGAAACAUUGCAAUGAAAUAAAGGAGGCUUGAGAUACCA